rnacentral:rRNA from 1 species
CCCGGGCCUUGUACACACCGCCCGUCACGUCAUGGGAGUGGAUGGUACCAGAAGUGGGUAGUUUAACCGAAAGGGGGACGCUUACCACGGUAUGAUUCAUGACUGGGACG